UACGUAGGGGGCGAGCGUUGUCCGGAUUUAUUGGGCGUAAAGAGCGUGUAGGCGGUUCGGUAAGUCUGUCGUGAAAUCCUGAGGCUCAACCUCGGGCGUGCGAUGGAUACUGCCGGGCUAGAGGGUGGUAGAGGCGAGUGGAAUUCCCGGUGUAGCGGUGAAAUGCGUAGAUAUGGGGGAGAACACUCGUGGCGAAGGCGGCCAGCUAGACCAGUUCUGACACUGAGGCGCGACAGCGUGGGGAGCAAACAGG
rnacentral:rRNA from 1 species